CCAGGUAGGCUAGUUGAGAACAAGUUCUCAUUUGCAACUGCGACCUGGCCAAGAUAAAGCAUAGCAGUGUGAACAGACAACACAGAGUUACACAUGGAGUAAACAAUUAACAAGUCAAAAUAAUACAGUAGAAAAAAGGAGAGUCUAUAUACAUUGUGUGCAAAAGGCAUGAGGAGGUAGGCGAAUAAUUACAAUUUUGCAGAUUAACACUGGAGUGAAACAGAUGGAUCCUGCUGAAGGUAAACACUGAAACAGAUGGAUCCUGCUGAAGGUAAACACUGAAACAGAUGGAUCCUGCUGAAGGUAAACACUGAAACAGAUGGAUCCUGCUGAAGGUAAACACUGAAACAGAUGGAUCCUGCUGAAGGUAAACACUGAAACAGAUGGAUCCUGCUGAAGGUAAACACUGAAACAGAUGGAUCCUGCUGAAGGUAAACACUGAAACAGAUGGAUCCUGCUGAAGGUAAACACUGAAACAGAUGGAUCCUGCUGAAGGUAAACACUGAAACAGAUGGAUCCUGCUGAAGGUAAACACUGAAGCUGAAGGUAAACACAGAAACAGAUGGAUCCUGCUGAAGGUAAACACUGAAACAGAUGGAUCCUGCAGAAGGUAAACACAGAAACAGAUGGAUCCUGCUGAAGGUAAACACUGAAACAGAUGGAUCCUGCUGAAGGUAAACACAGAAACAGAUGGAUCCUGCUGAAGGUAAACACUGAAACAGAUGGAUCCUGCUGAAGGUAAACACUGAAACAGAUGGAUCCUGCUGAAGGUAAACACUGAAACAGAUGGAUCCUGCUGAAGGUAAACACUGAAACAGAUGGAUCCUGCUGAAGGUAAACACUGAAACAGAUGGAUCCUGCUGAAGGUAAACACUGAAACAGAUGGAUCCUGCUGAAGGUAAACACUGAAACAGAUGGAUCCUGCUGAAGGUAAACACUGAAACAGAUGGAUCCUGCUGAAGGUAAACACUGAAACAGAUGGAUCCUGCUGAAGGUAAACACUGAAACAGAUGGAUCCUGCUGAAGGUAAACACUGAAACAGAUGGAUCCUGCUGAAGGUAAACACUGAAACAGAUGGAUCCUGCUGAAGGUAAACACUGAAACAGAUGGAUCCUGCUGAAGGUAAACACUGAAACAGAUGGAUCCUGCUGAAGGUAAACACUGAAACAGAUGGAUAGAUCCUGCUGAAGGUAAACACUGAAACAGAUGGAUCCUGCUGAAGGUAAACACUGAAACAGAUGGAUCCUGCUGAAGGUAAACACUGAAACAGAUGGAUCCUGCUGAAGGUAAACACUGAAACAGAUGGAUCCUGCUGAAGGUAAACACUGAAACAGAUGGAUCCUGCUGAAGGUAAACACUGAAACAGAUGGAUAGAUCCUGCUGAAGGUAAACGCUGAAACAGAUGGAUAGAUCCUGCUGAAGGUAAACACUGAAACAGAUGGAUCCUGCUGAAGGUAAACACUGAAACAGAUGGAUAGAUCCUGCUGAAGGUAAACGCUGAAACAGAUGGAUAGAUCCUGCUGAAGGUAAACACUGAAACAGAUGGAUCCUGCUGAAGGUAAACACUGAAACAGAUGGAUAGAUCCUGCUGAAGGUAAACGCUGAAACAGAUGGAUAGAUCCUGCUGAAGGUAA